rnacentral:rRNA from 1 species
UUGCUGGGUGGAUUAGUGGCGAACGGGUGAGUAACACGUGAGUAACCUGCCCUUAACUCUGGGAUAAGCCUGGGAAACUGGGUCUAAUACCGGAUAGGAGCGUCCACCGCAUGGUGGGUGUUGGAAAGAUUUAUCGGUUUUGGAUGGACUCGCGGCCUAUCAGCUUGUUGGUGAGGUAAUGGCUCACCAAGGCGACGACGGGUAGCCGGCCUGAGAGGGUGACCGGCCACACUGGGACUGAGACACGGCCCAGACUCCUACGGGAGGCAGCAGUGGGGAAUAUUGCACAAUGGGCGCAAGCCUGAUGCAGCGACGCCGCGUGAGGGACGACGGCCUUCGGGUUGUAAACCUCUUUCAGUAGGGAAGAAGCGAAAGUGACGGUACCUGCAGAAGAAGCACCGGCUAACUACGUGCCAGCAGCCGCGGUAAUACGUAGGGUGCGAGCGUUAUCCGGAAUUAUUGGGCGUAAAGAGCUCGUAGGCGGUUUGUCGCGUCUGUCGUGAAAGUCCGGGGCUUAACCCCGGAUCUGCGGUGGGUACGGGCAGACUAGAGUGCAGUAGGGGAGACUGGAAUUCCUGGUGUAGCGGUGGAAUGCGC